rnacentral:rRNA from 1 species
UACGUAGGGAGCAAGCGUUGUUCGGAUUUACUGGGCGUAAAGGGCGCGUAGGCGGCGCGGUAAGUCACUUGUGAAAUCUCUGAGCUUAACUCAGAACGGCCAAGUGAUACUGCAGUGCUAGAGUGCAGAAAGGGCAAUCGGAAUUCUUGGUGUAGCGGUGGAAUGCGCAGAUAUCAGGAGGAACACCCAUAGCGAAGGCAGCUUGCUGGGACGUUACUGACGCUAAGGCGCGAAAGCGUGGGGAGCGAACAGG